rnacentral:rRNA from 1 species
GUUGUAUAGUCAAGUAAUUAAGUGCAUGUGGUGGAUGCCUUGGCAGUCAGAGGCGAUGAAAGACGUAAUAGCCUGCGAUAAGCUCCGGGGAGGCGGCAAAUAUCCUUUGAUCCGGAGAUUUCUGAAUGGGGGAACCCACCUACUAUAAGGUAGGUAUUGCAACAUGAAUACAUAGUGUUGCAAGGCGAACGAGGGGAAGUGAAACAUCUCAGUACCCUUAGGAAAAGAAAUCAAUUGAGAUUCCCUCAGUAGCGGCGAGCGAACGGGGAAAAGCCCAUUAAGUCAUAUCAGUUUUAGUGGAAUGCUCUGGGAAGUGCAACCAUAGUGGGUGAUAGUCCUGUACACGAAAGGGCUGAUAUGAUGAUGUCGAGUAGGGCGAGGCACGUGAAACCUUGUCUGAAUAUGGGGGGACCAUCCUCCAAGGCUAAAUACUCCUGACUGACCGAUAGUGAACCAGUACCGUGAGGGAAAGGCGAAAAGAACCCCUGUGAGGGGAGUGAAAUAGAUCCUGAAACCGCAUGCAUACAAGCAGUGGGAGCCGACUUGUUCGGUGACUGCGUACCUUUUGUAUAAUGGGUCAGCGACUUAUAUUCAGUAGCGAGGUUAACCGUUUAGGGGAGCCGUAGGGAAACCGAGUCUUAAUAGGGCGUAUAGUUGCUGGGUAUAGACCCGAAACCAGGCGAUCUAUCCAUGAGCAGGUUGAAGGUUGGGUAACACUAACUGGAGGACCGAACCCACUGUCGUUGAAAAGCCAGGGGAUGACUUGUGGAUAGGGGUGAAAGGCUAAUCAAGCCUGGUGAUAGCUGGUUCUCCCCGAAAGCUAUUUAGGUAGCGCCUCGGACGAAUACCAUAGGGGGUAGAGCACUGUUUCGGCUAGGGGGUCAUCCCGACUUACCAAACCGAUGCAAACUCCGAAUACCUAUGAGUACUAUCCGGGAGACAGACUGCGGGUGCUAACGUCCGUAGUCAAGAGGAAAACAAUCCAGACCGCCAGCUAAGGCCCCAAAAUCAUAGUUAAGUGGGAAACGAUGUGGGAAGGCAUAGACAGCUAGGAGGUUGGCUUAGAAGCAGCCACCCUUUAAAGAAAGCGUAAUAGCUCACUAGUCGAGUCGGCCUGCGCGGAAGAUGUAACGGGGCUAAAACUAUGUGCCGAAGCUGCGGAUUUGACUUUAAGUCAAGUGGUAGGGGAGCGUUCUGUAAGCCGAUGAAGGUGGAUUGAGAAGUCUGCUGGAGGUAUCAGAAGUGCGAAUGCUGACGUGAGUAACGACAAAACGGGUGAAAAACCCGUUCGCUGAAAGACCAAGGGUUCCAGUCCAACGUUAAUCGGGGCUGGGUGAGUCGACCCCUAAGGCGAGGCCGAGAGGCGUAGUCGAUGGGAAAUUGGUUAAUAUUCCAAUACUUCUGUGUAAUGCGAUGAGAGGACGGAGAAGGUUAAGUCAGCCUGGCGUUGGUUGUCCAGGUGGAAGGUUGUAGGCAUGUAUCUUAGGCAAAUCCGGGGUACUCUAUGCUGAGAACUGAUAGCAAGCUGUACUUGUACAGUGAAGUGGCUGAUACCAUGCUUCCAGGAAAAGUCUCUAAGCUCCAGUUACACAGGAAUCGUACCCGAAACCGACACAGGUGGUCAGGUCGAGUAGACCAAAGCGCUUGAGAGAACUCUGCUGAAGGAACUAGGCAAAAUGGUACCGUAACUUCGGGAGAAGGUACGCUGCUGACGGUGAUGGGACUUGCUCCCUGAGCUAUUGGCAGCCACAGAAACCAGGCCGCUGCAACUGUUUAUUAAAAACAUAGCACUCUGCAAACACGAAAGUGGACGUAUAGGGUGUGAUGCCUGCCCGGUGCUGGAAGGUUAAUUGAUGGGGUUAGCGUAAGCGAAGCUCUUGAUCGAAGCCCCAGUAAACGGCGGCCGUAACUAUAACGGUCCUAAGGUAGCGAAAUUCCUUGUCGGGUAAGUUCCGACCUGCACGAAUGGCAUAAUGAUGGCGGCGCUGUCUCCAGCAGAGGCUCAGUGAAAUCGAAAUCGCUGUGAAGAUGCAGUGUACCCGCGGCUAGACGGAAAGACCCCGUGAACCUUUACUGCAGCUUGACAUUGAACUUUGACCUUACUUGUGUAGGAUAGGUGGGAGGCUUUGAAGUUGGAACGCCAGUUCCAAUGGAGCCGUCCUUGAAAUACCACCCUGGUAAUGUUGAGGUUCUAACUCUGUCCCGUUAUCCGGGACGAGGACCAUGUCUGG